CCUUGCUCUCACAUAUGCUAGUUUGCUGGUACACCUAAAUGGAACAAGACUUGAUGCUGAUUGAUGUUGAUUGAUUAGUUACACCUGUGCUUCUCUUGCACUGAGAAGUCAAAGUGUCUGCAGUAAGAAAGCUCUGCUUGACAGAUACAUCAUAACCACACAGAUUUAUCACAUGGUGCAGCAUCAACCGGAGAGGAUGAACCAAUCUCACGGUUGCAGACCACUGGGCUAGACAAACAGGGUUUGUGACAAGAGCCUUGCUGUUCCAGUUUCCCUCAACCAGCUGGUGAAAGAUAUACAUUGCCUCCUACUUAAUCCUUGGUGCGCUAAAAGCAUUUUCAUUUAGUCAUGACUCACUCCUCACAGCAAAUUGACUCUAAACUCAAUUUAGUUUGUGUUAUCUCUGAUAGGUGGAAAUCAGUUUUGCGACUAAACCAAAACCAUUUCUUGCACCACAUCAAUAUGCAUCGCUUUAAUUUUUACUUGAAAGAACUAGAUGAGCAUGAAUGCUAAUACAUACUGUACUUAACAUGUUAUAAUUACCUUUGGAAAUACAAAACCUGCAGCAUGUAAGCUGUUUCUAUGAGCAGCUGUUUCUGUUCAUGUUACAUAA